CCCUUAUCCAGAGCGGCGGAGGGACUGGCCCGAUGAAGCCCGGCAACCGGCACGUCCGUGCCAAGGUGCCAAUUCCAGCGGUAAGGCCUGAGCGGUGACUUACCGGCAGAUAAGGG
rnacentral:ncRNA from 2 species